rnacentral:tRNA from 1 species
GCCGAGGUGGCGGAACUGGCAGACGCGCUAGCUUGAGGGGCUAGUGACCUUCGGGUUGUGCGGGUUCAAAUCCCGCCCUCGGCA